AAAGUCGUAACAAGGUUUCCGUAGGUGAACCUGCGGAAGGAUCAUUAUGAAUUUGAAGAUGCGAGCGAGUCUUAAUUGACUUGUUUCCGCUUCUUUUUUUUCUGUGAACUGUGUUAUUGUGUGAAGCUGAAGCUCCCCAAGUUUACUUGAAGCGGAAGUGAAGCAGAGUAGCAAAUUUGUAUUCUUGUAAUCUUAUUCCAUCUUUUUUUUUGAUUCUGAUUCAUUAGCCUUUGCGGCGAAUUGAAUACGAAACAAGAAAAAAAAAAAACCAAGACAACUUUCAGCAAUGGAUCUCUUGGCUCUU
rnacentral:misc_RNA from 1 species